rnacentral:rRNA from 1 species
AGGAAAAGAAACUAACAAGGAUUCCCCUAGUAACUGCGAGUGAAGCGGGAAAAGCUCAAAUUUAAAAUCUGACGGUCUUUAUGGCCUUCCGAGUUGUAAUCUAGAGAAGUGCUAUCCGCGCUGGACCGUGUACAAGUCUCCUGGAACGGAGCGUCAUAGAGGGUGAGAAUCCCGUCUUUGCCACGGACUACCAGGGCUUAUGUGAUGCGCUCUCAAAGAGUCGAGUUGUUUGGGAAUGCAGCUCUAAAUGGGUGGUAAAUUCCAUCUAAAGCUAAAUAUUGGCGAGAGACCGAUAGCGAACAAGUACCGUGAGGGAAAGAUGAAAAGAACUUUGGAAAGAGAGUUAAACAGUACGUGAAAUUGUUGAAAGGGAAACGCUUGAAGUCAGUCGCGUUGACCAGGAAUCAGCCUUGCUUUUGCUUGGCGCACUUUCUGGUUAAUGGGUCAGCAUCAAUUUUGGUCGGUGGAUAAAGGUCAGGAGAAGGUGGCAUCUUCGGAUGUGUUUAUAGCUCUUGGUUGCAUACAUCGAUUGGGAUUGAGGAACUCAGCACGCCGCAAGGCCGGGUGUUUACACCACGUUACGUGCUUAGGAUGUUGGCAUAAUGGCUUUAAUCGACCCGUCUG